rnacentral:lncRNA from 1 species
AGUUUUCCCUUAUUGGUUUGAGUUUUACCUAGAAAUUCAAAAAACAGAUGAAUCUUUCAAGUUAGAGCACAGAUCGACAAAGACACAACUACCAAGUCUUGAUAUUUAUAGAUCUCAUAUUAUCCUUAGAUAGCUUACACUGUUCUCCAUAUUUUUCUUCUAUGAUGAUUACAUGUCUUAGCUCCAUAUUAUUCUAUCUCCAGUC